rnacentral:rRNA from 1 species
GAUAAACGCUGACAGAAUGCUUAACACAUGCAAGUCGAUGAUGGGAGCUAGCUUGCUAGAAGAAGUCAUGGCGGACGGGUGAGUAACGUGUAAAGAACUUACCAUAUAGACUGGGAUAACAGAGGGAAACUUCUGAUAAUACUGGAUAAGUUAGUAGUAGCAUUACUAAGUAAUGAAAGGUAGCAAUACGCUAUAUGAGAGCUUUGCAUCCUAUUAGCUAGUUGGUGGGGUAAAAGCCUACCAAGGCGAUGAUAGGUAGCCGGCCUGAGAGGGUGGACAGCCACAAGGGGACUGAGAUACGGCACUUACUCCUACGGGAGGCAGCAGUGGGGAAUAUUGGACAAUGGAGGCAACUCUGAUCCAGCAAUUCUGUGUGUGUGAAGAAGGUUUUAGGACUGUAAAACACUUUUAGUAGGGAAGAAAGAAAUGACGGUACCUACAGAAGAAGCGACGGCUAAAUACGUG